AAUGAACGCUGGCGGCAGGCCUAGAACAUGCAAGUCGAACGCCCUAGCAAUAGGGAGUGGCGCACGGGUGAGUAACAUGUGGGAAUAUGCCUUUUGGUACGGAACAACGUUUGGAAACGAACGCUAAUACCGUAUGGUCCCUCCGGGGUAAAGAUUUAUCGCCAAAAGAUUAGCCCGCACUAGAUUAGCUAGUUGGUAAGGUAAUGGCUUACCAAGGCGACGAUCUAUAGCUGUUCUGAGAGGAAGAUCAGACACACUGGGACUGAGACACGGCCCAGACUCCUACGGGAGGCAGCAGUUAGGAAUAUUGGACAAUGGGCGCAAGCCUGAUCCAGCCAUGCCGCGUGAGUGAUGAAGGCCUUCGGGUUGUAAAGCUCUUUAGCCGACGAAUAUAAUGACUGUAGUCGGAGAAUAAGCCCCGGCUAACUUCGUGCCAGCCGCCGCAGUAAGAC
rnacentral:rRNA from 1 species